CCUCGGGAGGCAGCAGUAAGGGAUAUUGCGCAAUGGGCGAAAGCCUGACGCAGCAACGCCGCGUGGAGGAUGACGGCCUUCGGGUUGUAAACUCCUUUGGACGCAGACGAGCAAGGACGGUAUGCGUCAAACAAGUCACGGCUAACUACGUGCCAGCAGCCGCGGUAAAACGUAGGUGGCAAGCGUUAUCCGGAUUUACUGGGCGUAAAGCGUGUGCAGACGGGUGUUCAAGUGGUGUAUGAAAUCGCUCGGCUCAACCGGGCGCGGUUAUGCCAGACUGGAUACCUAGAGACAGAGAGAGGGACGUGGAAUUCCGGGUGUAGUGGUGAAAUGCGUAGAGAUCCGGAGGAACCCCUGAGGCGAAGGCGGCGUCCUGGCUCUGGUCUGACGUUCAGACACGACAGCAUGGGGAGCGAACGGGAUUAGAUACCCUAGUAGUCC
rnacentral:rRNA from 1 species